GACGAACGCUGGCGGCGUGCUUAACGCAUGCAAGUCGAACGGAAAGGCCCUGCUUUUGUGGGGUGCUCGAGUGGCGAACGGGUGAGUAACACGUGAGAAACCUGCCCUUGACUUUGGGAUAACUUCAGGAAACUGGGGCUAAUACCGGAUAGGAGCUCCUGCUGCAUGGUGGGGGUUGGAAAGUUUCGGCGGUUGGGGAUGGACUCGCGGCUUAUCAGCUUGUUGGUGGGGUAGUGGCUUACCAAGGCUUUGACGGGUAGCCGGCCUGAGAGGGUGACCGGCCACAUUGGGACUGAGAUACGGCCCAGACUCCUACGGGAGGCAGCAGUGGGGAAUAUUGCACAAUGGGCGGAAGCCUGAUGCAGCAACGCCGCGUGCGGGAUGACGGCCUUCGGGUUGUAAACCGCUUUCGCCUGUGACGAAGCGUGAGUGACGGUAAUGGGUAAAGAAGCACCGGCUAACUACGUG
rnacentral:rRNA from 1 species